rnacentral:rRNA from 1 species
GGACGAACGCUGGCGGCGUGCCUAAUCCAUGCAAGUUGAGCGCUGAAGGUUGGUACUUGUACCAACUGGAUGAGCAGCGAACGGGUGAGUAACGCGUGGGGAAUCUGCCUUUGAGCGGGGGACAACAUUUGGAAACGAAUGCUAAUACCGCAUAAAAACUUUAAACACAAGUUUUAAGUUUGAAAGAUGCAAUUGCAUCACUCAAAGAUGAUCCCGCGUUGUAUUAGCUAGUUGGUGAGGUAAAGGCUCACCAAGGCGAUGAUACAUAGCCGACCUGAGAGGGUGAUCGGCCACAUUGGGACUGAGACACGGCCCAAACUCCUACGGGAGGCAGCAGGAGGGAAUCUUCGGCAAUGGACGAAAGUCUGACCGAGCAACGCCGCGUGAGUGAAGAAGGUUUUCGGAUCGUAAAACUCUGUUGGUAGAGAAGAACGUUGGUGAGAGUGGAAAGCUCAUCAAGUGACGGUAACUACCCAGAAAGGGACGGCUAACUACGUG